rnacentral:tRNA from 1 species
UACCCCGUGGUGCAAUGGCAGCACAUCUGGUUUUGGUCCAGAGGGUUCCUGGUUCGAGUCCAGGCGGGGUAACCA